AUUUUAUUCUGAGGGGCUCCAAAAUCACUGCAGAUGACUACAGCCAUGAAAUUAAAAGAUACUUGCUCCUUGGAAGGAAAGUUAUGACCAACCUAGACAGCAUAUUAAAAAGCAGAGACAUUGCUUUGCCAACAAAGGUCCAUCUAGUCAAAGUUAUGGUUUUUCCAGUAAGUCAUGUAUGGAUGUGAAAGUUGGACUAUAAAGAAAGCCAAGCACCAAAGAACUGAUGCUUUUGAACUGUGGUGUUGGAGAAGACUCAAGAGUCCCUUGGACUACAAAGAGAUCCAACCAGUCCAUCCUAAAGGAAAUCAGUCCUGAAUAUUCAUUGGAAGGACAGCUGUUGAAGCUGAAACUCCAAUACUUUGGCCCCCUGAUCCCAAGAACUGACUCAUUUGAAAAGAACUGACUCAUUUCCCCUGAUGCUAGGAAAGAUUGAAGGCAGGAGGAGAAGGGGAUGAUAGAGGAUGAGGUGGUUGGAUGGCCUUACUGACUCGACGGACAGGAGUUUGAGUAAGCUCUAGGAGUUGAUGAUCGACAGGGAGGCCUGGCGUGCUGCAGUCCAUGGGGUUGCAAAGAAUUGCACACAACUGAGAGACUGAACUGAACUGAUACUCAAGACGCUCUCCAGAUGGUGAAACUGAUUAAAUGGAAUAUAUCCACUCUGAAAAGCUGAGUGGCAGUAGUUGGAAAUUAAAAACACCAAGGUCAUUCUGAGUCAUGAAAUAAAAAUCUGGAUGACUUCAGUAUAAGAGCUGUAAAUCAGAAAGAUCAGCAGCGCAUCUUCUGAUGGGACUCUGCAUGAAAUGUGUGGAUCAGCCCUGUGCCCGGAGAUGGCCCGUGACUCAGAGACCAGCAAGUCUGCCAUUGCCUGGUCAACCCUAGCUGUGACGAAGCCUCCCGGACUCCUCCCUACUUCAUUUCCUGGUGCCAAGCUGAGGAUGGGGGAGGUGGAGAAUGUAUGCCGUCCCCCCACCCAGGCCCCUGGACCGCGAAGGGCCCCCAGCUGCCGGGCCUCCCCUGUGGAAUGGAGACGCCAUGUGCAAUCCCGCGAGUUAAACCUGCAAAGCACCGACACGUGCCCGGCCCGAGAAGGCUCUGAGAUGACCCGCCACCUUCUCUCCUCGCUGAGCGGGUCCCUGCGGGGUUCGGGCGAGUAUGAGGACUCCUUAGGGCUCCCGACUAUUCUGAAUGCCGGUCUCCUUGCCACACCAAGCAUCCCGUUUCCCAAGCCCUGAGGUCUCAGCUGGAGCCCCCUCUCCUCCCCAGAAGGCUCUUCACAAGGCUGGGCUACUACCGAUACAGGACCGAGUGGGCUGUCCACAGAUUCCCCACCCCUCCCCCGC
rnacentral:lncRNA from 1 species